rnacentral:lncRNA from 1 species
AUAGCUGACAAACCGUAAAUCCGUUUUGAAUAAGACUUACAUGUCUGGAAAGCCGACGAAAUUCCUGUCGUCUCGGUGCCAACCACGUAUAAUUUGGAUCAAUAUUGAGGGCUGGGGACGUCUUUGAAGUUGGAGCUCUGAUGCAGAAUUAUGCAGAAAAUUCUGAUUAUUGGUUUAUAGCAUUUCACUUGCAAAUUAUGCGUUUCGGCGAGCUCCGGAAGUGUCAAGCUUCUUUUCAGGUGGGUUCCCUUAGAGCCUUAAACUCUAGUUAGUUUAGCUCCAUUAGUCUCCCCAAAUAAAAUAAAUGCAUGAUAACAUUAGUUUAGUUAGAAUAUUAA